rnacentral:lncRNA from 1 species
CAGAAUUUCAUAAAAGAAACAAAGGUUGAACUCAAAAAAUAUAAAUACGGAAUGAAAGCCCCAAACAUCGGGGUGUCACUGAUUCAUGUGCAAUUACUAAAAACUGGCCCGACCACAAUAAGACUAACAUAGUCUGGGAAAAAAAAUCCAAAAUACAACUAAGGGGAAGAUAAAGAAGAAGAAAAACAAGGUUGCGAUCGCCAGGCAGCUACCUUGCUAUCUCCGAUGAUCCGCUACUGAAUAUAUCGACAACCGCUACCGUGGCCAAAUGUCUGGAUCUGCACAUAAGGUGCAUGGAGUAACGUGAGUAUACCAACUCAGUAAGUAACAGCAGUAAAUAAAGUCUGAGAAGUAGUGACGAGCUAGAUGCAAGUAUAGUUCAUAUCACAAAAAUUCAGGUAAAGUACAACAUGCUUAAAAAAACCCAGUGUUUAAGUCAAAUCGACUUGUUCAAAUCCAGUUCAGGUAAAACUAAUAAAAAUAUCUUUCAACAGUUCUCAAACAAGGACUCAAAGCAGCUAUGAUCACACCGGAUGAAAUCAUAUACUGCCCCUCAGGCAAAACAUCACUCAGUCCUCCCAGUCACUCCAACCUCACAAUCACUCAUGCCUCCCAAUCGCCCAUGCCUCCCAAUCACUCAACACUAGGCACUCGCACUCAACAGGUACCUGCGCUCACUGGGGAUGUGUACAGACUCCGGAGGGGCUCCUACAGCCCAAGCAUUAUAAUUUGCACGAACAACUCACGUCCUGCAAUAUCAUAUCAGAAUCUGCACGGACAACUCACGUGCUAUAAUAUCAUAUCAGAAUCCGCACGGACAACUCACGUGCCAAGGUACAAUACCUCACAAACAUGCCCUCGGCUUCACUCAGUCAUAAACCUCUCUAGUCUUUCGGGCUCUCAAAAAUCAAAGAAAUCAGCCCAAACGACAUUAACAUGAUGCAACAAAUAGAAUAACAGAGACUGAGCUAUGAUAUAAGAAUGCAUGAAUAUGACUGAGUACGGGAUAUCAACUAAAGCAGUGAGAGGACAGUAAGAAAUGACCUCUAAGGGUCCAAACAAUACUGGCAUAAGGCCUAGACAUGGUAUCUAGCAUGAUUUAUAGUAAAUCUUUCGAAAGCAUAUAAAGAGCAUAUAACUACAACAUGUUGUUCAACUUUACAGUUGCUAUGGGACGGACCUAGUCACAAAUCCCCAAUGGUGCACGCCCACACGCCUGUCACCUAGUAUGUGCAUCACCUCCAAAUAGUCACAUGACACAAAAUUCGGGGUUUCAUACCCUCAAGACUAGAUUUACUACCGUUACUUACCUCAAUCCGAGCAAAUCUCUACUCUGCAAUGCCCUUGCCUCUCGAAUCGGCCUCCGAGCAUCCCGAAUCUAGUCAUAAGUAGUACAAUACCAUUAAUAUAUGCUAAAGGAAUCAAUUCCACAAGAAAAUUACUAAAUUAGACUCAAAACCCGAAAUCAACUCAAAUCCGACCCCCCAGGCCCACGCCUCGAAAUCCAAUAAAAGUCACAAAACCCGAAAGCUCAUUCACUCACGAGUCUAACCACAUGAAAUUCAUCAAAAUCCGGCAUCAUUUUGUCCCUCAAAUUACACUCUCCAAACUCCUAAGCUCUAACCCCCAAUUUUUACUUCAAACCCCACUAAUUAGAUGAGAAAUCAAUGGGAAAGCACCAUAGAUAGGAGUAUUAGAGCUCAAGCAACUUAUCUCUAUGAAAAUCCUUGAAUCCCCUUCAAAAAUCACUCCAAAAGCUCUAAGGUCCAACUUGAAAAUGGUGGAAAUGAACAAAAAUUCGCGAAGUCUUCUAUCUAUAUGUUCUGCCCAGGUUUUUGCACCUGCGACUCAAAAUGCGCACCUGCGGAGCCGCUUUUGCGCACAAAUCUCAGCAUCUGCGGAAAAUUGCUUAAGUGCCAUCUUCGCACCUGCGUUCCCUAUCCGCUUCUGCGACCUCGCAGGUGCGGAAAUGACCUCGCACCUGCGGCCACUGCCAGCCCUCCUCAUUUCCGCAUAUGCGACUCAGCCUCGCAUAUGCGUGCUCGCAGAUGCGACUACUUCUACGCACCUGCGGUUCUAGCCCGGGUCCUCCAUGUCCGUAUCUGCGGCUUACCAAGCGCACCAGCGACCUCGCACUUGCUGCUCCCCCUCCGCAUGUGCGAAAAUACUAGUAGCAGCAGCUUCAGCUGCAUUUUUCCAACUUCAAACAAUCCGUUAACCACCCGGAAUCACCCCGAGCCCCUCGGGACCUCAACCAACCAUACCAAUAAGUCAUAUAGUAACAUACAAACUUAGUUGAGCCUUCGAAUCACUCAAAACAAUAUCAAAACACCAAACCACCCUCGGAUUCAAGGCUAAGAACUUCUAAACUUCUAAAUUCCACAAAUGACGUCGAAACCUACUAAACCACGUCCGAAUGACCUCAAAUUUUACACACACGUCACAAAUGAUACCACAAACCUACUCCAAUUUUCAUAAAUCGAUUCCGACCCCGAUAUCAAAUUUUUCACUGCCGACCGAAAUCGCCAAAUUUCCAACUUUCGCCAAUUCAAGCAUAAUCGCGCUACGGACCUCCAAAUCAUAUUAAGGAUGCGCUCCUAAGUCCAAAAUCACAUAACGAAACUAAUGGAAUCAUCAGAACUAAAUUCCGAGAUCGUUUACACAUAAGUCAACAUCCGAUUGACUUUUCUAACUUAAGCUUCUAAAUAAGAGACUAAGUAUCUCAAUCCACUCCGGACUCAAACUAACUAAUCCGGUAUAUUAUAACAUAGCUGAAAAGUACAAAAAGAAGCAGAAAUGGAGGAAACGGGACUAUAACUCUCGAAACGACCGGCCGGAUCGUUAUAUCAUAUCUUUGCCACUUCUGACGUAGUUGGUAGAUUGUAUAUUCGUUGAUCUUGACCAGCAUCACACUUAAGCGCAAUGUAUAAAUCUGAUAAUUGUGGGAUAUUUAUUAAGAAUUUCAAAAAUAUAUAGUAAGGAUUGAUUUUUAAUAUUUCCAUUAAAUGUUUCACAGUACACUCGUUCAAUUUAUUAGAACAUGCCAUUCGAUUGCUCACUUCAUUUUUAUUAUCAUAGAAAUAUAAUUGUAGAUUUUUUCCUUUUUCAUUACUUGGCAUCAAGUCAUUUAUGAAAUGAUACAUUUGUCCCUGAACUCGAAACGUAUAAAUACCUUUAUUCCUUUUUGCCAGUUCUUUGUCAUAGCUUACUCCCAGGGAUGUGAAUGCAAAUAUAUUAUUGUAUGUUCUUAUGUAGGUUCGAAAAUGCUUUGAUUCUUCAGUAUUUCCUAGAUACAUAUUUCUUAAUUCUUGUGGUACUUGAUGUGAAAUUAGCUUAAUAGUGCCUUUGCGAUAACAGAAUGCCGGUGGUUCGUAUUCAAAUUUUUUGGUUCCGCAAAAUUUGCAUUUGGGAACAGUCUUUAACAUAACAUAAUUAGUUAGUGUUUGGAUUUUUAUUGACUCUUCAGUAUAUUGUUCAUGAUUUGUGUUAGAUGUAGAUCCUAGAAUACAACAAUAGCAAGUGUAAGUAUAUAAUUUUGAUAGUUAUAAAUGCAUAUAUGUAUUUAUAAUUGCGUAUACCAUCAAGAAAUGAUAGUAUAGCUCUCUAACAUGUUUCAUAUAUUGAAUGUCCCACAAAAAGAAGAUAUUGCUCGCUUGAAAUAUUAGCACUCAUAGAGGAUGAUGCGUUAGCGGAGCUCUUAAUUAGCGAGCAGGCAGGACGUUGUCGGCCGCUUGUUUCAGCUUUAUUUGCUCGUGCUCGUGCUAGGAGAGCCUCCUUUUUAUCGUCCUACAUCAUUCUGUAUAAUUCGCGUCGCCUAGUCUUCUUGUCAGCAUGUAUUUUUUUGAAGUUUUCAAUUUUAUGAUUUUUACUCGAUAUUUCACUUGUUUACUUCCUGAAUGGGAAAUGUCACGUAUAUAUUUACAUUACUGAAUGUAUAAAAAUCCACAUCUGGAAUAACAUAAAAGUUACACGUAGUAUGUAUGUAUGUAUGCAUUCAUUUUUUAGAAGAACCCACGUAAAAAUGUACAAUACCUAUAAAUAAAUGAUGAGAAAUUAGAAAAUUUACCUUCUGGUUCAAGUGCUACUGCAUAGGAGAAGUAGAAACAACCAUAACGGAUCGCAAGAACUGCAAUGAAAAAGAGAGUAAAUUGUGUCAUGUACAACAGAGGCAAAAAAGCAAAGAACAAAUAGAGGCCUCAUAUUAAACUUUGACUUUAUCCCCUGCAUAUGCUUGAAAUUGAAUUGCAUCUACCAUAGACUUAUCAAAAAAAUUUGAAACAAAAAACUAUUCAUUUUUCUACAAAAACAUGCAUUAAAUUCAUCAAUGAGAAAGGGACCAAUUUCUUCAUACUCAUUCCUAAGCACUUCUCCUAAAAAAUAUUUUAGAUGAUGCUUUUAUAAAUAUUUCAUAUUCUGAUUAUUAUGCAUGUGAUGAUUGUUGGUUAGUGUGUGGUUUCUUAAUGUGAAAAUAGAAAAAGUAAAGGGAGAAGGAACAGCUGCACAACAGCUUGACUUAAAAAGAGGGGAGGGAUCUAAGAGCUUAAAAGAAGAGCCAAAAAGGGCACUCGGCCUUCUUCUUCCAAAGGAGUCAAUCCCAAUAUCGUCUCAUGGUAGCCAUAGAAACCACCACAUAAAGGUCAUUUUGCUUUCUUUCUUCUCUUAACAUCUAUAUACAAUAGCUAAAGACAAAGGAAUAAUACUAAUUACUUCUUCUAAAAAUCCAGCAAAUUGAGCCAUUUUUUUCCAUUAAAACAACCCUUCAAUCACUCCAAAAAUGUCGCCCAUCAACAACCAAGAACUAGAAAUAAAUCACCGCUAAACUUGCCCCCAAAAUAACCCAAAAACAGCCCAGAAAUCCAGCUGAAAGCAGUCGAAAACAUCACCAAAAUCACUCCAAAAAAGGCUGAAAAAUACAGCCAAAAACCAAUUUCAUCUCCAGCCCAGAAACACCAUGAACACUAUCCAUAAAUACCUGAAAAUCCAGUCUAAAAUCAACUUGCUUUACCCUUAAACAGACCACCAACCCAGCUUCAAAAUAGUCCAAAAAAAUGGCAAUAAAAAGUAGUUGCCUCAUGCGACCAAAAACGCAGUUGUUGUUGUUGUCUUCUUCCUCUAAAAAAAUGAUCUCAAAUAACAUGUAAACCAACUGAAAAUACAAACCCAACAGUUGGCUUCUAUCUCCAUUCGAGUUCGUCGAUUCCGGUUUAAGGUUCUGAUCGGUAAGCUCAUUUGAGAGAAUUUCCUCCCAAUCUCCAAAUAUUCAAUCCAAGGCAAUAAAGAACAUGAUUUCAUAGCUUUCAACACCCAAAUUAAAUGAAGGGUGAUAAUUUUAAAUUCUAAAUAAAUGGCAUUCCAAUGACAAAAACGUAUAAAAACUUAACCACACACUGAAACAUAAUCGAAAAAUCCGUAAAAAUCACAUAAAAAUUAGAACAAAAACUACCUGGAGCUGCCUUGGGUAAAAGAAGAGCAAAGAGAAGGGAUGGGGUAAAAACUCUAAUUUUGGAUGAUGAGGUUAUUUUAGGGAUUCAGAGAAAUUUACCAAAUAUUAAAUUCUUCAAAUUCUUUUGGUAAGAAAAUGACUAAGAUUGUCUCCAACCUAACACUAAAUAUUACACCAAAUUCUAUGUUGGUAUAAUAUUUGGUGUUUUGGUGCUCCAAUCCAACACCAUUUUUCUCUUUUAAUUACUGCAUCAUUCACUUUUUCUCUUCUUUGAUUCCACCACCAUGGCCACAAUUUCUUUUUUCUUUUUCUUUUUUUGCAACUUUUUUGGAGGACAAUCUAAUCUUAAACUUGAUGACUGAGUUGUCACAAAGCCGAGUUUAGGUCACUCUGUCCACACAUAUCAGGUAUCUCAUUUUUCAAAUUUGCUGGUAUUGUGUUUUAUUUUUUGGUGCAAUUUUUUACUUUCUAAUGCUGUUGCUACUGUAGUAUUUAGUUGACUUUAUUUCUGAUGUCAAAGAAAGUAAAACAAAGAAAGUACAUCAACGGACUGCAGAAAAAACUCACGAACACAAAGAGCUCAGAUGAACACAAAAAGAAGAAGCUGAUGAAAUUAGAGACUCACAAAAGGAAAAUUGCAGAAAUGAAAUUGAGAAAGAGAAGAGAUUCCAGAAAAGCAUCAAACACUGCUCUUCAGUGCCACCAUGCCGACAGAAAUUGAACCAAGUAAAAAAAUUGAAUUUAUUUUCUUGAUUUCAAUUCAUCUCCGCAACAAAAACAAACAGAAAGAAAUUCCCCAAUUUCAGCCAUCAAAACCCUAACUCGAAAAUCCAUAAUUAAUUCAAUCUAUUUUUAUGGAUUUGAAACAAAAAAGAAGGAGAAAUNNNNNNNNNNNNNNNNNNNNNNNNNUUUUUGAGCUUAUCUCUAUACGUGGCUUUUCUGUACCUACACAACUACUACGUGUAGCUUUUAGGUUAUUCCAGAUGUGGGUUUUUAUCCAAUUUCUUUACAUCACAAUUUACAGAGCUUCUCAGAUUAUCUUCCGUCUUGCUCAUCUCUUCAACUUACAUGUGCAUUUCUUAUUCUUUAGCAUCAGUCUUGUUGCUUUCUAUUUGUUUCUCCUUCUUUUUUAUUUUGCGACUUCUCCUUUUCGUUACUCCAAAGCUGCAUCAUUUGUGCCUGUGAAUAUGAGCUUUCUUAAUUUCUUGCACUCAAUAUGUUUACUUCAUAUUAGAUAAUUCAUUUUCCUAUUGUUUCCUACCUUUGAUACAUGCAUGUUGUGAUUUCUUCUACUAUUUCAUGUGUAUCAAAGAAAUAUUUUCGGCUGUGAUUUGCUUCUAACCCCCUCCUCCCCCCCCUCUCCCUUCAAUUUAAGAAAUAAUGCUAGUUGAUUAACUGUCCAUUGAAGCAUUUCCAUAUAAUAUCCCACUAUCACUAUGUUUCAGAUGAUGCUUUUAUAAAUAUUUCCUAUUCUGAUUAUUAUGCAUGUGAUGAUUGUUGGUUAGUGUGUGGUUCCUUCAUGUGAAAAUAGGAAAAGUAAAGGGAGAAGGAACAACUGCACAGCAGCUUGACUAGGGGGGGGGGGGAUCUGAGAGCUUAAAAGAAGAGCCAAAAAAGGCACUCGGCCUUCUUCUUCCAAAGGAGUCAAUCCCAAUAUCGUCUCAUGGUAGCCAUAGAAACCACCACAUAAAGGUCAUUUUUCUUUCUUUCUUCUCUUAAUAUCUAUAUACAGUAGCUAAAGACAAAUGAAUAAUACUAAUUACUUCUUCUAAAAAUUCAGCAAAUUGAGCUUUUUCCCCCAUUAAAACAGCCCUUCAAUCACCCAAAAUCACCCCAAAAACGUCACCUAUCAACAAUCAAGAAUCAGAAAUAAAUCACUGCCAAACUUGUCCCAAAAACUGCCCAAAAAUAGCCCAAAAACAGCCAUGAAAUCAAGCUGAAAGCAGUCGAAAACAUCACCAAAAUCACUUCAAAAACGGCUGAAAAAUGCAGCCAAAAACGAGCUUCAUCUCCAGCCCAGAAACACUAUGAAAACUGUCCAAAAACACCUGAAAAUCCAGUCUAAAACCAACCUGCUUCACUCUUAAAUAGACCACCAACCCAACUUCAAAACAGUCCAAAAAAAAAGGCAAUAAAAACGCAGCUGCCUCAUGCGACCCAAAAUGUAGCAGCUGCUGUUGUCUUCUUCCUCUAAAAACGAUCUCAAAUUACAUGUAAACCAACUGAAAAUACAAACAAAACAGCUGGCUUCUAUCUCCAUUCGAGUUCAUCGAUUCCGGUUCAAGGUUCUGAUCGGUAAGCUCAUUUGAGAGAAUUUCCUCCCAAUCCCCAAAUAUUCAAUUCAAGGCAAUAAAGAACAUGAUUUCAUAGCUUUCAACACCCAAAUUAAAUGAAGGGUGAUAAUUUUAAAUUCUAAAUAAAUGUCAUUCCAAUGACAAAAACGUAUAAAAACUUAACCACACACUGAAACAUAAUCGAAAAAUCCGUAAAAAUCACAUAAAAAUUAGAACAAAAACUACCUGGAGCUGCCUUGGGUAAAAGAAGAGCAAAAAGAAGGGAUGGGGUAAAAACUCUAAUUUUGGAUGAUGAGGUUAUUUUAGGGGUUCAGAGAAAAUUACCAAAUAUUAAAUUCUUCAAAUUCUUUUGGUAAGAAAAUGACUAAGAUUGUCUCCAACCUAACACUAAAUAUUACACCAAAUCCUAUGUUGGUGUAAUAUUUGGUGUUUUGGUGCUCCAAUCCAACACCAUUUUUCUCUUUUAAUUACUGCACCAUUCACUUUUUCUCUUCUUUGAUUCCAUCAUCAUGGCCACAAUUUCUUUUUUCUUUUUUUUUUUUGCAACUUUUUUGAAGGACAAUCUAAUCUUAAACUUGAUGACUGAGUUGUCACAAAGCCGAGUUUAGGUCACUCUGUCCACACAUAUCAGGUAUCUCAUUUUUCAAAUUUGCUGGUGUUGUGUUUUAUUUUUUGGUGCAAUUUUUUGCUUUCUAAUGCUGUUGCUGCUGUAGUCUUUGUUAAUUUUUUAGUUGACUUUAUUUCUGAUGUCAAAGAAAGUACAACAAAAGAAAAGCAACCCAAAAAAACGCAAUUACAAACAAAAAAAGUACAUCAACGGACUGCAGAAAAAACUCACGAACACAAAGAGCUCAGAUGAACACAAAAAGAAGAAGCUGAUGAAAUUAGAGACUCACAAAAGGAAAAUUGCAGAAAUGAAAUUGAGAAAGAGAAGAAAUUCCAGAAAAGCAUCAAACACUGCUCUUCAGUGCCACCAUGCCGACAGAAAUUAAACCAAGUAAAAAAAUUGAAUUUAUUUUCUUGAUUUCAAUUCAUCUCCGCAACAAAAACAAACAGAAAGAAAUUCCCCAAUUUCAGCCAUCAAAAUCCUAACUCAAAAAUCUGUAAUUAAUUCAAUCUAUUUUCAUAGAUUUGAAAAAAAAAAAGAAGGAGAAACAAAUAGAAAGCAACAAAACUGAUGUUAAAGAAUAAGAAACGCAUAUGUAAGUUGAAGAGAUAAGCAAAACGGAAG